GGCCGGGUGUGCGGCUAAUACAAUACCCGCAAGGGGAAUACGCCCGCCGUCUGUAUGCGGUUUUGAGCACCCGGCCGCCCUCUC
rnacentral:ncRNA from 1 species